GGGAAUAUGGUACUAGUAGAUCACAAUAGGAGAGAAAAUUAAGGGUACAAUGUCUUGUCUUUAAGAUUUUUCGAAAUACUAUAGGUGGCAGAGUUUAGAAUUGAGUAUUUCUGGACAUGGACUAGGUAAUUUAGAUGCAUAUUUGAGACAUUACUAUAGGUUCUUCGCAAUUAAUUAUGAAAGAGAUAGAUAAUUUAAAUGCAAAUUUAGAGGGUUAGUUUAGAUCAAUGUUUUAUAGUGGCAUAUUUGGGAAAUCUAGAUGAUGAGUAGGGGGUUCAUUCAGGUUAUUUCUCAUAGUGACAAAGUUGGAUAAUUUAGAUAUAGAUUUUUUGCCCGAAGAAUUUAGAUAUUGAUUUAGAUGGCUAUUAGUUUAGACUAAUUUUUAUAAUGACACUAGUUGGUAGAUUUUUAAGAUACAAAAUAGAUCCAAUGGCAAUUGUAAUCAAUAAUAAUUAGACGCUAAUGAAUUACUGUUCCUUAUUUCAGGAAAAUUUCUAGGAUGGAUCAUAUGGCUAUUGUAAUCAUUAAUGAUUAGAAUUUACUAAAUUUAUGGCCGGAUGUUUCAGAUUUUGUAUGCAAUAUUGAUUAGAGUCUGGAGUACUAAAAAAUUGAUGGCAGGAUGUUUCAGAUUUUUGGAAAAAUCUUUAGGAUUUUUUCCAGCACAUCUUUUGAGGAUUAAUGUUAAGACUUCAAAAUGAUUCUCUAAUUACUUAUAAUAAGAUGAUUCUUAGAUAUUACUGGUCAUGUAACAGUUUUUAAAAUUUACCUCUUUAGUGCCUCUAUAGAUGUGGAAUUGCAAAAGCUCCCCCAUAAGUCACUUGGAGUUUGACAUGACCUAUCUGUUUUGUUGCAAAGUCC
rnacentral:lncRNA from 1 species